UUUUUCUUUACUUUUUUUUUCUUUAGAUAAUUGUUUUUUUUUACUGAUACAUUUUAUGAAAUUGGGGUGCGUGAAAAAGUGGUAAGGUUCUAGUUAACUUUUUUUUUAGCGCUUGCUCUGUGGCUUGGUCCUCAAGUACUACUAGAUUUCAGUAGUUGGUGGAGGCAUUCUGAGUCUUUGGUAAAGGAUUCUAAUCAUGCUGUGAAGAUUAUGCUGCUGUAUGAAUAGAUAACAGCCAUCAGAAAAAGUCCCAGGGUAUCCAAGAAGCUGUCAUCCAGGUCUUCUCCAAUGAAGCUACAACAACCCACAGAGCCAGCAGGGGAACCUACACCUUCGAUGUCAUAUAUGAGCAAACAGUCAUUAGAUGGGCGUCCUUCAUCUUCAUCUGCGUAAGCAUAUGCUUUCUGAAUUUAUAGGAGAAAGAGAAAAUGAAAUUAUGAAUGCAUAUUUAACAAUAAUAGAACAGCCUUUAUCAUUAGUUUUUCUUCCAGAGCAUUUCCAAAGAGGAAUGAAAUAAAACAAGAUUUUAACAUACUAGAGAUGCUCUAAAAAUCAUUUUAUAAUUAUUUGAAAUAAUUUGGUUAGAAAUCAUUUUAAGUAUAAUUCUAAUACUAUGAUUUUAAAAAUUUACUUAGAUGGACUUAUUUAUAAUUGUGUACUUUGGACAUAAAACCAUACACAAAAAAAUCACAUGAAUUGGUUUCGAGGAGGAGCCAAGAUGGCCGAAUAGGAACAGCUCUGGUCUACAGCUCCCAGCGUGAGCGACGCAGAAGACGGGUGAUUUCUGCAUUUCCAUCUGAGGUACCGGGUUCAUCUCACUAGGGAGUGCCAGACAGUGGGUGCAGGUCAGUGGGUGCGUCCACUGUGCGCGAGCCGAAGCAGGGCGAGGCAUUGCCUCACUUGGGAAGCGCAAGGGGUCAGGGAGUUCCCUUUCUGAGUCAAAGAAAGGGGUGACGGACGGCACCUGGAAAAUCGGGUCACUCCCACCCGAAUACUGCGCUUUUCCGACGGGCUUAAAAAACGGCGCACCACGAGAUUAUAUCCUGCACCUGGCUCGGAGGGUCCUACGCCCACGGAGUCUCGCUGAUUGCUAGCACAGCAGUCUGAGAUCAAACUGCAAAGCGGCAGUGAGGCUGGGGGAGGGGCGCCCGCCAUUGCCCAGGCUUGAUUAGGUAAACAAAGCAGACAGGAAGCUCGAACUGGGUGGAGCCCACCACAGCUCAAGGAGGCCUGCCUGCCUCUGUAGGCUCCACCUCUGGGGGCAGGGCACAGACAAACAAAAAGACAGCAGUAACCUCUGCAGACUUAAAUGUCCCUGUCUGACAGCUUUGAAGAGAGCAGUGGUUCUCCCAGCACGCAGCUGGAGAACUGAGAACGGGCAGACUGCCUCCUCAAGUGGGUCCCUGACCCCUGACCCCCGAGCAGCCUAACUGGGAG
rnacentral:lncRNA from 1 species